AAAAGUUGGGUGAAUGGCAUACAGGUGCCUACAAAAUUUUUAGUGGCACACAGGUAACCACCAUCUUUUUUUAAUGGUACGUAGGUAAAGGACUCUCGACAAGGCCGUCGCCGCCCUCUGUUCCCACGGCCUUAGGGAAAAAUGGAAAUGCUACUGCUGUUUUCCCCAUCAUCAGACAAGUUUGUAACUUUACAAUAUCCUUGUGUUAGUAUUCAGAUAUAACAAAUCUUCGAAUUGAAAUAGCAAACAAAAGGAAGCUUUGAAUAUCUGCAGUUCUGGAAAUGCCAACUUCAACCAGUCAAGAGCAGCUCUAAAAUGUGCGUUUGGGCAUUUUGAGAGAUCCAGAAUGUGUACAUUUCGAAAUGAUGAGGUUUUAACAACCUUCCCCAACUCAUUGUAAAGGAUGAUAUAUAUUUCGGUAAUCAACUUGGGAACAUGAACUUUCUAUCCUUUUCAGGGAAACAUUAUGUAAUGUUAUGGCUUGUCGAUAUGCUUGGAUGCUGUUGCAUUCCAUUUUUUAAUAUGUUAAAUUUUGCCAAGGAGUUGCAAAAUUCCAUCACCCAAGUGUAAAAAGUAAAAUACAAUGACAAAUUCUGUCAUGAAGUCCUUUUAAUCCUUUGUUGCCCUCUUAUCUAUUUGUUUGGAAAAGUAAUC